CAAUAACUCAAAUGGUAUUAGUAAGCGUUAUGUGGCUCAGUCUGUUAGCCUGCUCAAGAGCCUUAGCUUUGGACCUGUGCUCAGGACAGACAAACGGCUACAAGACUGUGGAUCCAGCGAGUCCUUUGGCUUACUUUGUAUGCCUAGGUGGCAUGGGCAAAUAUCGCAGUGUCUGCGAUGAAGGAUUGCGUUUUCGACGUGGUUGAACAGCAAUGUGUAUCUGAAACCAGACCAUUGCCUAUAAAGCCCAGCAGGACAGAUGAAUCGACUAAUAUGUUUCAUAUUAGCCAAUAUAUAAGCAUGUUUAGGCCACUCAUUUUCAAUAUAUUUGGCUCUUUGUGGCAACCAGACCAAUCAGCCAUAAAUUUUUCAACUACUACUGCAGCAACAUCUUCAACAACUGCACCACCAACAAGCAGUUCUAGUGCAAAAAGGAGUUAAAGUCACAACCAAAUCUUCAACACCGAACCCUAGCAUAUCUAAAACAUUAUUAUAGAUUUAAAUUAAAUAAAGAAAAAA